GGUCUCUUCGGAGAUACUCGAGUGGCGAACGGGUGAGUAACACGUGGGUGAUCUGCCCUGCACUUCGGGAUAAGCCUGGGAAACUGGGUCUAAUACCGGAUAGGACCACGGGAUGCAUGUCUUGUGGUGGAAAGCGCUUUAGCGGUGUGGGAUGAGCCCGCGGCCUAUCAGCUUGUUGGUGGGGUGACGGCCUACCAAGGCGACGACGGGUAGCCGGCCUGAGAGGGUGUCCGGCCACACUGGGACUGAGAUACGGCCCAGACUCCUACGGGAGGCAGCAGUGGGGAAUAUUGCACAAUGGGCGCAAGCCUGAUGCAGCGACGCCGCGUGGGGGAUGACGGCCUUCGGGUUGUAAACCUCUUUCACCAUCGACGAAGGUCCGGGUUCUCUCGGAUUGACGGUAGGUGGAGAAGAAGCACCGGCCAACUACGUGCCAGCAGCCGCGGUAAUACGUAGGGUGCGAGCGUUGUCCGGAAUUACUGGGCGUAAAGAGCUCGUAGGUGGUUUGUCGCGUUGUUCGUGAAAUCUCACGGCUUAACUGUGAGCGUGCGGGCGAUACGGGCAGACUAGAGUACUGCAGGGGAGACUGGAAUUCCUGGUGUAGCGGUGGAAUGCGCAGAUAUCAGGAGGAACACCGGUGGCGAAGGCGGGUCUCUGGGCAGUAACUGACGCUGAGGAGCGAAAGCGUGGGGAGCGAACAGGAUUAGAUACCCUGGUAGUCCACGCCGUAAACGGUGGGUACUAGGUGUGGGUUUCCUUCCUUGGGAUCCGUGCCGUAGCUAACGCAUUAAGUACCCCGCCUGGGGAGUACGGCCGCAAGGCUAAAACUCAAAGGAAUUGA
rnacentral:rRNA from 1 species